AAAGCGCGCGUAGGCGGCUUGUUAAGUCGGAUGUGAAAUCCCUGGGCUCAACCUAGGCAUUGCAUUCGAUACUGGCAAGCUAGAGUAUGGGAGAGGAAGGUAGAAUUCCAGGUGUAGCGGUGAAAUGCGUAGAGAUCUGGAGGAAUACCGAUGGCGAAGGCAGCCUUCUGGCCUAAUACUGACGCUGAGGUGCGAAAGCAUGGGGAGCAAACAGGAUUAGAUACCCUAGU
rnacentral:rRNA from 1 species